ACUGAGGUCCACUGCAAUAGGGCUUCUCCAUCUGCAGUCACACACCACUAGAAAUGCUCACACAGAAACUCGUGAUUUUUCUGGAUUCACAAGACUGUUUCUUAGGUCUGUGGACAGAACUACAAGACAAUU
rnacentral:snoRNA from 1 species